rfam:Ictidomys tridecemlineatus contig027157, whole genome shotgun sequence.
GGGGUUGUGGCUCAGUGGUAGAGCGCGUGCCUCUCACGUGUGAGACCCUAGGUUCGAUCCUCAGCACCACCU